rnacentral:lncRNA from 1 species
CAAGCCCCACCUGCAGAGUCAAGUCCCUCCUCCCACCUCAGCACUGCUAGAAAAGAGCUUCAGGAUGGAGCCACACAUGCCACUCAAGCCCAAGGGUCAGUCAACAGCCCACAGCCCUAAACUCAUCUGUGUCCAAUGCCAGACCCAGCAACUGCUGAUUUACAUGAAUCAACUCCAUCAUGCAAGCCUCAUGACAUCCCAAUGAGACGCAGGUGCUUUUGCAGUCACGUGACUGGACGUGGGCUAGGACUCUGUUGUCCGUGGCUGGAGUCCAUAGCUGAGAACAAAGAAGGAAAAACUUCAGGAGGACACUCCCAGCCCACAGCACGGCACAUCAAAGAUCCCAGAUGCCACCUACGUGACAGGCAGAAACGCUCGCGAGCUUUGCUUGCUCAGCCAGUUUUUCUGCUCCUCAAGUCUGGACGAAAGCAGCAAGAAAGAGAGAAAGGACUUGGUAGAAGCCAAAGAGAAAGGACUUUGCCUUCUGCCUAUUGG